GGAUUGUGGCUCAGUGGUAGAGUGCUCGCCUAGCAAGUGUGAGGCCCUGGGUUCAAUCCUCGGCACCA
rnacentral:tRNA from 1 species